rnacentral:lncRNA from 1 species
UUAUGAUUUCAGAUUAUGAAUCACCAUGAAUUUAUGGGAAUAAAGACUAAUUCUCAUGUCUGGAGGAAGUACACCAUGAAUAAAAAUAUAUUAUUGCUAAACAGAUGUCAGAAACUAGUGGAGGAGUUGUCAAAGAACACCUGGCAUCUACCUCACCUACUAACACAUCAAAAAAAAAAAAAGAUGGACAGUGUUGAAGUUAUUCUAAAGAAGCUGAAAAGCAUCACAUUUACAGAAAAACAUCUGCAUCUCUGAAUGUGCUUUAUCUGAAAGAAUUCUCUUGAGCUUCAAUCCAAAAUAUGAAC